GAUGAACGCUGGCGGCGUGCCUAAUACAUGCAAGUCGAGCGAACAGACGAGGAGCUUGCUCCUCUGACGUUAGCGGCGGACGGGUUAGUAACACGUGGAUAACCUACCUAUAAGACUGGGAUAACUUCGGGAAACCGGAGCUAAUACCGGAUAAUAUAUUGAACCGCAUGGUUCAAUAGUGAAAGACGGUUUUGCUGUCACUUAUAGAUUGAUCCGCGCCGCAUUAGCUAGUUGGUAAGGUAACGGCUUACCAAGGCAACGAUGCGUAGCCGACCUGAGAGGGUGAUCGGCCACACUGGAACUGAGACACGGUCCAGACUCCUACGGGAGGCAGCAGUAGGGAAUCUUCCGCAAUGGGCGAAAGCUUGACGGAGCAACGCCGCGUGAGUGAUGAAGGUCUUCGGAUCGUAAAACUCUGUUAUUAGGGAAGAACAAAUGUGUAAGUAACUAUGCACGUCUUGACGGUACCUAAUCAGAAAGCCACGGCUAACUACGUG
rnacentral:rRNA from 1 species